rnacentral:lncRNA from 12 species
GGUAUGGGGAAUCUCAAAAUAGAUAAAUCAAAAAGCCUAGCCUCAGUGAUUUAAGGAGUUCAGUAAACUGACCUAUAAAUAAAGCCAGCUGAAAGAAGUUUGGAACAUAGAACACAGAAAUGUCUAUAUUUCUCUCUAAGGAGUGAAUGAACACGUGUCCCUGAGGAGCCCAGAGGGCAGGAAUCUGCCUCCAGUUUGUGCAGAUUAAAGACCACUUUCUCAUCUAGAGUGGUGACAUUUCCAAUGUAAUCCAUGUCCUGUUGAAACCACCACUGGCUGAAUAUAUAAU